rnacentral:rRNA from 1 species
UACGUAGGGUGCGAGCGUUAAUCGGAAUUACUGGGCGUAAAGCGUGCGCAGGCGGCUUUGCAAGACAGAUGUGAAAUCCCCGGGCUCAACCUGGGAACUGCAUUUGUGACUGCAAGGCUAGAGUACGGCAGAGGGGGAUGGAAUUCCGCGUGUAGCAGUGAAAUGCGUAGAUAUGCGGAGGAACACCAAUGGCGAAGGCAAUCCCCUGGGCCUGUACUGACGCUGAGGUGCGAAAGCGUGGGGAGCAAACAGG